CACUUGCCCUCCGGCUGCUGCUGCAGCCGCUGCUGCUUUAGCGAUAAUAGUUGUAGCGGCGGCGGCGGCAGUUAAGGAGAGCGCGAGAAACCCCUCAGCAAACAGGAACAGAUCCAUUCAUCUACACAGGAGCGCAGUAUGAUCCAAGAACCUUGUGCUAAUAUACGCAACUUCUGAGGGCGCCGUGCCUGCUCAUCUAGGUUGGGAAUGAGGUGGUGAUGGAUAGAAACUAUGGCCUCAAUGGAGGUAAGAAGCCCAGGUCAAGGAGCUUAUGCUGUCAGAUCCUGAAGUACAAGACUUGAAAAAACCAUCACUUUCAUUGUCUGAUAGCACAUUUGUUAAAUAACCGAAUGCAGCCUGUUGCUAACCAAGGUUGAGGCCUUAAUAUUUAUCCUCCAUUAAGAAGCCCAAGAAAUGCACUUAUGGGCAGGUCUGCCUUAUUAAUCAGAUACCUCUCUAUCCUACCAUGAAGCAAAUUCCUCCCCUUUUUGAGAUGGGUACCGAGGCUUGAAAAUUUCCCAUCCAGAAAACUGAAAGUUGAAUUUUUUUUUUGUAAAAAAAGAAGCAUUUCUAUUGAGCAUAAUAGAUUCAGACAUUGCAAAUGAAAAUAAGAGAAUAUUCCUUUAUGCAGCAUCUGCAGCAAGAAUACUAAUUGCAAAAAACUGGAAAAGUGAAACAGUACCAACAAAAAAAGAGUGGCAAAAGAGAUUUUUUUAUUACCUUGAAUUGGCAAAAAUGACGGAUGCAAAUUAAAACCUGGUCUUGCUUCGAAUAAUUUUUGCAAAACAAAACACGGUUUACAAAUACAACAUAUGGAGAAGGGUAGAAAAGACGAAAUGAGAAAGAAACAGUUUAUCAAGUUUAAAAUCAGACCCGUGUUGAGGAGGAAGGAAGUCUAUUAAAAUAGAAUAAGAACUAACGAUUGGAUAACAUAAGUCCGUGUGCAGAUACUUGCGGAUUUAUGGAUAUAUAUUUAUAAUUUAUUUUGUGUUUUCUUUUGUAGUUUGUUUUCUAAGUGUCGUGUGUGUAUGUGCUGUAAUAAUAAGUUAAUAAAAGCAUUUAACAAAAAAAAGAAAGAAAGAAAGAAAGAAAGAAAGAAAGAAAGAAAGAAAGAAAA